UACAGAGGUCUCAAGCGUUGUUCGGAUUCAUUGGGCGUAAAGGGUGCGUAGGCGGCGCGGUAAGUCGGGUGUGAAAUCUCGGGGCUUAACUCCGAAACUGCAUUCGAUACUACCGUGCUUGAGGACUGGAGAGGAGACUGGAAUUUACGGUGUAGCGGUGAAAUGCGUAGAUAUCGUAAGGAAGACCAGUGGCGAAGGCGACUACCUGGCCUGUUCUUGACGCUGAGGCGCGAAAGCUAGGGGAGCAAACGGG
rnacentral:rRNA from 1 species